AGUCNACGGGAAUCUUCGGAUUCUAGUGGCGGACGGGUGAGUAACGCGUAAGAAUCUAACUUCAGGACGGGGACAACAGUUGGAAACGACUGCUAAUACCCGAUGUGCCGAAAGGUGAAACCUAAUUGGCCUGAAGAAGAGCUUGCGUCUGAUUAGCUAGUUGGUGGGAUAAGAGCCUACCAAGGCGACGAUCAGUAGCUGGUCUGAGAGGAUGAGCAGCCACACUGGGACUGAGACACGGCCCAGACUCCUACGGGAGGCAGCAGUGGGGAAUUUUCCGCAAUGGGCGAAAGCCUGACGGAGCAACGCCGCGUGAGGGAGGAAGGUCUUUGGAUUGUAAACCUCUUUUCUCAAGGAAGAAGUUCUGACGGUACUUGAGGAAUCAGCCUCGGCUAACUCCGUGCCAGCAGCCGCGGUAAUACGGGGGAGGCAAGCGUUAUCCGGAAUUAUUGGGCGUAAAGCGUCCGCAGGUGGUCAGCCAAGUCUGCCGUCAAAUCAGGUUGCUUAACGACCUAAAGGCGGUGGAAACUGGCAGACUAGAGAGCAGUAGGGGUAGCAGGAAUUCCCAGUGUAGCGGUGAAAUGCGUAGAGAUUGGGAAGAACAUCGGUGGCGAAAGCGUGCUACUGGGCUGUAUCUGACACUCAGGGACGAAAGCUAGGGGAGCGAAAGGGAUUAGAUACCCCUGUAGUCCUAGCCGUAAACGAUGGAUACUAGGCGUGGCUUGUAUCGACCCGAGCCGUGCCGAAGCUAACGCGUUAAGUAUCCCGCCUGGGGAGUACGCACGCAAGUGUGAAACUCAAAGGAAUUGACGGGGGCCCGCACAAGCGGNGGAGUAUGUGGNUUAAUUCGAUGCAACGCGAAG
rnacentral:rRNA from 1 species